rnacentral:rRNA from 1 species
GUAAGCUACUAAGAGCAAAUGGUGGAUGCCUUGGCUAGUAGAGGCGAUGAAAGACGUGCCAGGCUGCGAUAAGUCUCGGGGAGCCGUCAAGGGGCUUUGAUCCGGGAAUUUCUGAAUGGGGCAACCCAGUAUAUAGUGAUAUAUACUACCGCAAUGCGGAGCGAACGUUGGGAAUUGAAACAUCUUAGUACCAACAGGAAAAGAAAUCAAUAGAGAUUACGCUAGUAGCGGCGAGCGAAAGCGUAAGAGGGCAAACCACUAGCUUGCUAGUGGGGUUGUAGGACUGCAAUAUAGACUUAAACAAUCUAAUAGAAUAAGUUGGAAAGCUUAAGCAUAGAGGGUGAUACUCCCGUAUAUGAAAGUGCGUUUAUACUUAGCAGUAUCCUGAGUAGGGCGGGACACGUGUAAUCCUGUCUGAAGCUGGGUAGACCACUAUCCAACCCUAAAUACUACUACUAGACCGAUAGUGCACAAGUACCGUGAGGGAAAGGUGAAAAGAACUGAGGUGAUCAGAGUGAAAUAGAACCUGAAACCAUUUGCUUACAAUCAUUCAGAGCCCUAUGAUUUAUCAGGGUGAUGGACUGCCUUUUGCAUAAUGAGCCUGCGAGUUGUGGUGUCUGGCGAGGUUAAGGAAACCCGGAGCCGUAGCGAAAGCGAGUCUUAAUAGGGCGUAUAGUCAGAUGCUGCAGACCCGAAACGAUGUGAUCUAUCCAUGAGCAGGUUGAAACUGGUGUAAGAGCCAGUGGAGGACCGAACAGACGGCCGUUGAAAAGGCUCCUGAUGACUUGUGGAUAGGGGUGAAAGGCCAAUCAAACAUCGUGAUAGCUGGUUCUCUCCGAAAUAUAUUUAGGUAUAGCGUUGUGUAGUAACUUUGUGAGGUAGAGCACUGAAUGGGCUAGGGCAUACACCAAUGUACCAAACCCUAUCAAACUCCGAAUGCGCAAAGUGUAAUCACAGCAGUCAGGCGGCGAGUGAUAAAAUCCGUCGUCGAGAGGGGAACAACCCAGACUAACAGCUAAGGUCCCUAAAUCUCAUUUAAGUGGAAAACGAUGUGGAGUUACUGAAACAACCAGGAGGUUGGCUUAGAAGCAGCCAUCCUUUAAAGAAAGCGUAAUAGCUCACUGGUCUAGUGAUUCUGCGCGGAAAAUAUAACGGGGCUAAAAUGAGUACCGAAGCUUUAGACUUGCACUUAAUUCUAAUUAUAAAUUUAGCUAUGAGCUUUUAAGUUAUAUUUCUCAUAAUUUAAUUGCACUCAUAUAAAUUAAAUUAUGAGAAAAUAGUUUAGCUAAAAUAAUUAGAAGUAAUUAGAAUUAAGUGCAAGUGGUAGGAGAGCGUUCUAUUCAGCGUUGAAGGUAUACCGGUAAGGAGUGCUGGAGCGGAUAGAAGUGAGCAUGCAGGCAUGAGUAGCGAUAAAAGGGGUGAGAAUCCCCUUCGCCGUAAACCCAAGGUUUCCUACGCGAUGCUCGUCAUCGUAGGGUUAGUCGGGUCCUAAGCAAAGUCCGAAAGGGGUAUGCGAUGGAAAAUUGGUUAAUAUUCCAAUACCAAUUAUUAUGUGCGAUGGAAGGACGCUUAAAGUUAGUGGAGCUAGCGGAUGGAAGUGCUAGUCUAAGGGCGUAGGUUGAGUUAUAGGCAAAUCCGUAACUCUCUAUCCGAGACCUCAAAGGCUCUUGACGCUCUUCGGAGUAGAUGGAGAAUCCAUGAUACUAUCGAGCCAAGAAAAGUUUCUAAGUUUAGUAAUAAUUGCCCGUACCGUAAACCGACACAGGUGGGUGGGAUGAGUAUUCUAAGGCGCGUGGAAGAACUCUCUUUAAGGAACUCUGCAAAAUAGCACCGUAUCUUCGGUAUAAGGUGUGCCUAACUUUGUAUUAAGAUUUACUCCCAAAGCAUUGAAGGUUACAACAAAGAGUCCCUCCCGACUGUUUACCAUAAACACAGCACUCUGCUAACUCGUAAGAGGAUGUAUAGGGUGUGACGCCUGCCCGGUGCUCGAAGGUUAAUUGAUGGGGUUAGCAUUAGCGAAGCUCUUGAUCGAAGCCCGAGUAAACGGCGGCCGUAACUAUAACGGUCCUAAGGUAGCGAAAUUCCUUGUCGGUUAAAUACCGACCUGCAUGAAUGGCGUAACGAGAUGGGAGCUGUCUCAAAGAGGGAUCCAGUGAAAUUGUAGUGGAGGUGAAAAUUCCUCCUACCCGCGGCAAGACGGAGAGACCCCGUGGACCUUUACUAUAGCUUGACACUGCUAUUUGGAUAAAGAUGNGAGCCAUUGUUGAGAUACCACUCUUCUUUAUUUGGGUAGCUAACUAGCCUAAGUUAUCCUUAGGUAGGACAAUGUCUGGUGGGUAGUUUGACUGGGGCGGUCGCCUCCCAAAGUGUAACGGAGGCUUACAAAGGUUGGCUCAGAACGGUUGGAAAUCGUUCGUAGAGUAUAAAGGCAUAAGCCAGCUUAACUGCGAGACGUACAUGUCAAGCAGAGACGAAAGUCGGUCUUAGUGAUCCGGUGGUUCUGUGUGGAAGGGCCAUCGCUCAAAGGAUAAAAGGUACCCCGGGGAUAACAGGCUGAUCUCCCCCAAGAGCUCACAUCGACGGGGAGGUUUGGCACCUCGAUGUCGGCUCAUCGCAUCCUGGGGCUGGAGCAGGUCCCAAGGGUAUGGCUGUUCGCCAUUUAAAGCGGUACGCGAGCUGGGUUCAGAACGUCGUGAGACAGUUCGGUCCCUAUCUGCCGUGGGCGUAAGAAGAUUGAGGAGAGUUGACCCUAGUACGAGAGGACCGGGUUGAACCAGCCACUGGUGUAUCAGUUGUUCUGCCAAGAGCAUCGCUGAGUAGCUAAGCUGGGAUGUGAUAAGAGCUGAAAGCAUCUAAGCUCGAAGCCAACUCCAAGAUGAAUCUUCUUUUAAGAGCUCUAGUAGACUACUAGUUUGAUAGGCUGGGUGUGUAAUGGAUGAGAGUCCUUUAGCUGACCAGUACUAAUAGCUCGUUUGCUUAUCUUA